rnacentral:rRNA from 1 species
UACGUAGGUGGCAAGCGUUGUCCGGAAUUAUUGGGCGUAAAGCGCGCGCAGGCGGUCCUUUAAGUCUGAUGUGAAAGCCCACGGCUCAACCGUGGAGGGUCAUCGGAAACUGGGGGACUUGAGUGCAGGAGAGAAGAGUGGAAUUCCACGUGUAGCGGUGAAAUGCGUAGAUAUCGUUUGGAACGCCAAAGGUGAAAACAGACAGCUGGGAGUGUGCUGACGCUGAGACACGAAAGCCAGGGGAGCGAACGGG